GAUGAAAUCGGAGGUCUUAUACAGCCAGGGGAUAUUAUUCGGUUGACCAGAGGGUAUGCAUCCAUGUGGAAAGGAUGUCUGACACUUUAUACUGGAAGGGGUGGAGAACUUCAGAAAACUGGGGAAUUUUGUAUGGUUUAUUCAGAAUUGCCAAAUUUUAGUGAACCUAACCCAGAUUAUCGAGGACAACAGAACAAAGGGGCACACAAUGAACAGAAGAAUAAUUCCAUGAAUAAUAGUAACAAUGUGGGUACAGGUACAUUUGGACCAGUGGGAAAUGGCGUUCAGACUGGCCCAGAAGCGAGGGGAUGCCAAUUUUCAUAUGCUGGUAGAAGCAAUGGCCGGGGACCUAUAAAUCCACAGCUACCAGGAACAGCUAAUAAUCAAACAGUCAUGACCACAAUAAGUAAUGGCAGGGACCCCCGGAGAGCCUUUAAAAGAUGACCUUUGCCAAAUACUCGCAUGUAGUUUUUAAACUAUAUGCCCUACUUGAACACUUAUUGCACUUUUAUUUAUUGUUAACUGUGAAAACUGUUCUUUAUCUGUUUCUUUUUAUGUUUUUGGUUUGUUAACAAGAGUGGUUUGUUUUUUAUAGAAGAACUAUUACGCUGCUCGAGUCUCCUAUUGAAGAAUGGGAACACUCUGAAGAAUAGGGGCAUUUAUUUUUAGAGCAAAAAGAUCUUUGGAUAUCCUUUAAAAAACCUGCACCCAUUUCAUGGGGUCCUGGGUACUUGCAGAAAAUCAGCCUGGAGUGAAAAUCCUAGGUACUUACUUAUUUGAAGGGAGUGUGUGUGUGGGUGUUUAUUGUCAAAGUUUCUGAACACAAUUCACAAAGCCUUAUCAGCAGAAGUUAAGAAAUGGCUCUCUCAAAGAAGCAAAUACAGCUUUAUUUAGAAAUAUAAAGGUUACAUUUACUCAUGUGAUGUUAAAUGGUGUCCAGUUCCACUUUUCACUGU